UUUAGAGAAAGUGUUCUGCUUGGACUUCAGUUUUCAAACCUUAAACUCUGAAGACAGAUGAGCUGUUGAACAAUAAGACAUCUGGUAGACAAAGAUGCUGCUAGCCAGGGAGUCACCAUGGAAACCACCUAAAACAUGGAUUUCGAAGAUGAAUAACUCUGAGUUAAUUUCUUCUCAAGGUCAUUUCACUUAAAGUUUCAGUUUCCAAGAAUAUGUCAACAAUGUUAAGUGAGGACUUGCUGUAUAUGUUUUUCCAGAGGUCAUAUAGC
rnacentral:lncRNA from 10 species